CUUCUACACUUCACUUCACCACGGCCACUCGCUCCCCUCCCGACUCCGACGCGGCGACACCAUCGCGCUAGGGUUAGCGCCGGCGACGGCCACCGCCACUCCGCCGCCCGCCCCUAUCCCGGCCGUCUGCUCCUCCCCCGGACGCCCCUCCCCCUUUCACGCGCGCAUCUAGGGUGGAGGGCGAAAUGACCAGCCGCACCUGCCACCUCUCGCCGGCAGCGGGUCCGCUGGAGGACGACAACCUGCUCUGCGAGAUCCUCCUCCGCCUCCCCCCGGAGCCGUCCUCCCUCCCGCGCGCCUCCGUCGUCUGCAAACGCUGGCGGUGCCUCGUCUCCGACCCCCGCUUCUGCCGCCGCUUCCGCCGCCACCACCGCCGAAACCCUCCCCUCCUUGGCUUCUUCAACAGAGACAGCGAUCUCUUCCCCUUCGUACCUACUCUUGAGCCCCCAAAUCGUGUCUCGCCUGGCCGCUUCUCCUUGCAGCGCCGCGAAGGCGACCGCUUCAUCUCCCUUGGAUGCCGCCAUGGCCUCGUGCUCAUCCGCAACGUACGGCCGAACAAGGUCCUGGUGUGGGACCCCGUCACCGGCGAACAGCACCACCUUGCCAUCCCCCCUGAGCUUGUGAUACAUGCGGAGAACACAGCCAUCAAUGGGGCAGUGCUUCGUGCUGCCGGAGACAUCCAACAGUUUCAUGUGGUCUUGACAGUGGUGGACAACGUCGACAAGCAACACAAACGAGCGCUCGCCUGGCUUUACUCUUCCAAGACCAACUUAUGGGGUGAUCUCGUCUCAACACCGGUUCCAUUCAAGGUUUCCACCUCGGAUAUUUUGGGUGAUGAAGAUGAUGUCACCUUGGUGUUUACGGGAAAGCCCGCUGUGAUGGUUAGGGAUUCUCUUUACUGGAUUCUUGCUGGGAAUUUUGUUGGAAUUCUUGAGUUUGAUUUGGAGAAGCAAAGCCUAGCUGUGAUACGGGUGCCAGCGCAUAUGCUUGAAAAUGGGUUUUACCAGUUCUGGAUUAUGCGGGCAGAGGGUGGUGGUCUUGGUUUACUGUUGCAGAAAGAUCAGAGUUUCCAGUUAUGGAAGAGGAAGACUGAUCGUGAUGGUGUUGCUUCAUGGGUUCUUGGAAGAACUAUUGAACUGGACAAGCUACUUUCCCUGAAUGGAAAUGGCAGCCAAGUCAUACUAGGGUUCGCUGAGGAGAAUAAUGUGGUGUUUGUGUGGACACACGGUGUCCUCUUUAUGGUCAAUCUUGAGUCUUUGCAGUUCAAGAAACUUGGUGAGACCAGAACCCUUUCUCACUAUCAUCCAUUCGAAAGUGUCUACACUGCAGAAAUAGAAAUUGGUGGUGGACAUGAUGGAGUUGAUCUUUCACAGCACAUAAGAUGAUUAUCUGGUUAGGUAUGCUACUGUGAUGUACUUGUUGAGCAGGCUGCAUCUUGGAUCUUUUCUCCAGGCCCUGCUCCUCACCCUCUUCAUGCCUUCAUCAGCUGUUCUCAAUUUGCUUCCUCAUGCCAUUGCACCUACCUUCUCUAUUAUUUGUUGCUACCACCUCACUAUUGGAUGAGGAACCUAUCCUGUCCAUCCAGCUGCCUUGCUUUCAUUUACCUCUUCCUUGGUAUCUAUGAUUACGUUCCGGUGGCUGUGAUGCAGAAAUGGGUUGUGCCCUUGUAAUGGUCAACUUUGUAACGAAUUCUUCCAUUUUGUACGCUUGUUCAACCCAGAAAUUGGCCCUCUGUGAUGGUCAGCCAUGAAAUCUGACUCGCAGGACUUCGUCGAUUAAUUUGUUUUGAAUUUCAAUUUACUGUUUCUUAUCCAGUUCAUGAAGACACAGUGACUUGCUCAGAUUAAUGAUUAGCGUCGACCCUGUCAGUUAAUCUUA